CUUUCGAGUGCACUUUGUGUGGCCGCCCGUCAGCGGGACGGCCUACUUCUUCUGCAUCUUCUCUGGUUCCAUGCAGCCUCGUGGGCUUCAAGAUGUCAUUGUUUUGCCGGCUUCUCAAAAUGGUGAUCCUGUUGUUGGUACACGAUGAAGACGAGACCGGCCUCCUGGUCGUGGGCGAUGCUGGGGAAGACCACAAUUGGCUGCCGUGUCUUGGUUUUCUGUUCCAUUUGCGGCUACAAUGUCUGCGUGUAUGCCUGGUUCUCAGGCCGGUGGUGGUCAUUGCCGUCCUCUUCUGCCCAGUUCUUUUCGAGCUCCAACUGUGUCUGCUGAGGUAGAUGCUUUGAGGCGCCAAAUUUGGUUGGCAAAGUGACUGAUUAUUGAUACCUUCAAUGGUUGAGAAAUUGCAAGGAAGAAACAAAAAGUGUAGGCCCUCCCACAAAGUAAGCAGGAACGAAAAGUGGUGAAAAUGCAAAGAGGUGGAGUUGAGCUGCAAUGGUCCCAUACCCUACACUUGCUGGAUGAUCACGAGAGAAAGAUGGUUCUCUGUAAAUUCCAUACAGGCCGCAUCACGAAUCGAUGGACUAGCGAUCGUGCGGGAGAGGUACAGAGAGACAUACCCAAGUAACAUCUAGGAGAGAAAGAUCUCACUACAUGUGAUGGUUUCCUACAAAUGACAGAAUGUAGCCAUGUAGAAAUAUUGCGAACCAUUUGCAGGUGAACGAUGGUUCGACCUUACCCAUUACUUGCACAAUUUCAGUGGAAAAUUUGAUUAGCAUUCUGUAGGUUUACUACUGCAAAGUGAGAUCCCUAUUACUGUACACAUGUCCACCUGUAUAUGAGCAUAUCUAACGCUUCAUUCAAAAUACUGCUUGAUGUUCCUCCAAAAUUAUAAAGCUAACAAUUCAAUGGUAAGGAGAACAAGGGAUUUAGCUGAUUGUCCAUACAUACUGAUAUGUUACCCUUCACAAGUUUUGCAUAAUUGUUUUCAGAGGAGACGAAUGCAACAUUCCUUUUGUUGUUUUUGGAAAAUUGGUCUCAGACUAUUGUAUGCAACCACCAGAUAGAAGGAUGAAGGCAACAGCUCAAUCUCCAAGCUUUGAUUUGGUCUCAAAAGCCCGCUGUCAUGAUCAGAUCAACUCAUUUGUGCCUUCCAAAAGAUCACCACUGGAAUCAGGUGAUCUUCUCAUGUAUUUCUUUACAUUUAUGUUGUACUAAAUAUUAGCUUGGCCCAACAUUGUUUUGUCGGCCAUAAUCAAUACUGCAUUGUGUGAUAAAGUCCAUUCUUGAGGUUUAUGUAUUGUUCUAAAGAACUGCUUUCUGCGACAGCAAAUCGCUCACCAGUAAAACACGCACCACACAUUGACCUUUUUUUAGCUUACCAUUACAACAAUCUUUAUUUUCUUUACAUAAUUAAGUCCACAGAUUAUGCAUUUUGAUGUACUUAAGACAAAAAAACAACUCGCUAUAAUUAAAAUUGUGUUCCGUCUUCUAUAAUGCAGAUUAUGCAUUUUGACGUACAUGAGACAAAAGCCAGCUCGCUGUAAUUAAAAUUGUGUUCCCUCUUCUAUAAUCGAUGUACACCAUAAAAAAAACUUUGUUUCUUUUGAUGACUAUGCCUGUGGCAUGACUUGAAGAUAAGUCCCGAACACUGAAGUUUC